AUGCCCCCAAUCAGGCUGAGUCAGAGCCUCCUCUGGUGCAAACCCAAAGAAUGUCUGCAACCAGUAGGGGUCAGGCUUCGGCUCCCCUUCAGGCAGCACCUUCUUUUUCUGGUACUUCCUCUUCUUCUUCUUCUUUGAUGCAUCAUCAUCACCAGGCCUGGCGGUCACCACUGGAGUAAGCAGUGCCGAGCGGACUAAAUCGACCACUUUCUUGUCACGCACAUCACGGAUGAGCGCGCCGACCACGAGCGCAGGGUCAGGGGAAUCAAGCAGCGGGGAGAGGUCUCCCUUGAUGUACCAGAGGUAGGGCGCCCAGCUCCGGCGGAUGCUACGGAGUGCGGCAUGCGGGGAUCGCCCAGGGCGGAAGGCGAAGGACUUGGGCGAGAACCGCGCCUCAUAAACUGGUUCGAGCAGCAGCAGGAGCAGCUCCUGCACGACGCGGUCCUGGAACGGGGCCGGGCCCGGGGUGGUGAGGAGGGCGCGGAGCUUGCGCUUGGAGAGGGUGGCGGGGUCCGGGGCCGCCGCGGCGCGCGGGGAGUGGAGGUAGGGCGUGAGGCGGUUGCCGAAGCGGAAGCGGGCGUCGAUGACGGCGUUGCGGAGGGUGAGGAUGGAGGUGAGCGUGGAGGCGGGGAUGGAGGAGCGGGGUAG
rnacentral:rRNA from 1 species